UGUCUUCUAAAUAAAGACCCGUAUGAAUGGCUAAAUGAGUAUUUAACUGUCUCCUUCAACCAAUCAGUGAAACUGAUCUUUCAGUUAAAAAGCUGAAAUAAUAAAAUAAGACGAGAAGACCCUGUGGAGCUUUAAAUUUUUAUCAAAAUAUUUGACCAAAACUAUUUAUGAAAAAAACUUUUAAGUUGGGGCAACUUUGGAGAAAAAAACAACCUCCAAGAAAGACAAUGUCUUAACAGGCUAACCAGCCGAAACAAAUGACCCAGUCUUACUGAUCAACGAACCAAGUUACCCCAGGGAUAACAGCGCCAUCUUCUUCAAGAGUUCAUAUCGACAAGAAGGUUUACGACCUCGAUGUUGGAUCAGGACACCCAAAUGGUGCAGCCGCUAUUAAAGGUUCGUUUGUUCAACGAUUAAUGU
rnacentral:rRNA from 1 species